AACGCACCUUGCACCCUUUGGUAUUCCGAAGGGUAUGCCCGUUUGAGUGUCAUUGUAAUCUCACACCCCAGACUUCUUGUUGAGGGAGGUGGACUUGGACGUUUUGCUGCUUUACCGCGGCUCGUCUUAAAAGUGUUAGCGCGGCUCUAGACGAAGCGUUGAUGCCCAGUGUAAUAAGUAUUUCGCUGUGGUUAGCAUUAGUCUUUGGAGUUGUUGUGCUCUCUUAAUCGUCUUCGGACUGACCAGCGAUGGUCAUUUGACAACUUGGCCUCAAAUCGGGUAGGACUACCCGCUGAACUUAA
rnacentral:misc_RNA from 1 species